rnacentral:lncRNA from 1 species
GUUAUACCAUAGCGUUUGUUUCAAACUCUCAAUUUCUGGGGCAUAUGUCUGGUUGCAAAUUUGAAAGACCUAUUAGCCGAAAGAGGGGCAUGUGGGGUGUUUAUCGCUUAUUUGGACAACAAGGGGUCUGACCAAACAGUUCAAGAUGCACUUACAGCUCUUGGAUGUAGGGAACAUAUGGGUGGGUGGGGGCCUGAUAAUGGUUCGGGUGAUAGGUCGGGUGUGAUGACUUCAAUUCUAUGGGAAUUUUUCAAUAACUGGGCUGGAAAGGAAACCACCGCAGUUAUGGAAGGAGAGUAAAAUGUUUCAUGCUGUUCGCCAUUUUUUACGGCCUGGGGCAAAAAAGUUUGGAUUAAAACCACCAUAGGAAAAGUUUGAAUUUGUAAAAUCAUCAACUAUUACUUUUUUUUCUAAUAAAAGAAGCUUCUUAAAGCAACCAGAGGAAAACUGCCAAUAAUUGCUGGUUGGAUUUGAAUCUCAUCUCAUCUAAUCUUCGUUCAGAACUUCAGGUAAAUAAGCUGCAUGCUUAAUUAAAGGAUUUGAUAUUUCAAUUUUGGGAUGUGCAAUUAUUCGUUUGUUAACCGUGUCUUAGUUAUUCUUUUAAUUUGUUGCGUUUUCCCUUUUGUCUGGGUUUAGUUUUCGGUUUUCGACGAGCAAGCACCACCCCGUUAGGAAUCCUAAAGUUUCCUUGAUACUGAUACUCGAUCAGUAGGAGAAAAAGGUAAAUCCGUGUCAGCUCGCUCAUUCCGAUAAUCAAAAGCCUCCCGGAGUUCAAUCGCUACACCCACGCCCUCAAGGAGGCAUUGAGAGUUUGUCUUUCGGUU